GGCAGCAGUGGGGAAUAUUGGACAAUGGGCGCAAGCCUGAUCCAGCCAUACCGCGUGGGUGAAGAAGGCCUUCGGGUUGUAAAGCCCUUUUGUUGGGAAAGAAAAGCAGUCGGUUAAUACCCGAUUGUUCUGACGGUACCCAAAGAAUAAGCACCGGCUAACUUCGUGCCAGCAGCCGCG
rnacentral:rRNA from 1 species